GGCCACAGCCAUAUCACCCUGCAGACCAAGACUGGUUACUUACUGAAGCUAAGCAGAGCUAAGCCUAGUCAGUUACUGGAUGGGAGACCACAUGGGAAAGCAAGGUUGCUGUUGGAA
ensembl:rRNA 5S_rRNA 5S ribosomal RNA